rnacentral:misc_RNA from 1 species
AACACAAACAAAUAAAUCAAAACUUUCAACAACGGAUCUCUUGGUUGUGGCAUCGAUGAAGAAUCCCUCCCAAAUGCGAUAAGUAAUGUGAAUUGCAGAAUUCAGUGAAUCAUCGAAUCUUUGAACG